rnacentral:lncRNA from 1 species
GAUCUCAAUUUCGACCAUUAGAUUCAAAUUCGAUGGCUUCAACCAAGGUCCCUCACUUUAUAAUAUAUAUAAUUCCUUUCAUCUAUAGAAAAUCUAUAGAAGACAAUUUAAUUGGUUAAUUAGCCUCUGAAAUAUUAGCCAUGUAACCCAAGAGGGAGGUGAAUUGAGUUUUAAAAACUUAAACAAAUAAAAACACAAAACAACUCAAACUAAUGCCUUACAGAUUUCGAUAAAGAUAAAUUUAACAAUUAACAAAUGUAAAGAGAUAAGGUAAAAGAGAGCAAAUACAAUAAUUUUACGUGACUUGGCAAACUCUGUCUACGUCUACGCCUUCAAUCACAUUGGGCUUGAGAAUUCCACUAAACAAGCCUUACACCCUAAGGCUUCAAAAUCUUUACAAUUGACUUUUAAGGUGUCAAUCAACCUUUACAACAAGAAAACCUCUUAACCCCCACAUUUACAAUCACUCAAAUAUGAUAUAGAAAUCAAGAUUGCAAAUAAAUUUUCCUCACACAAUGUGUGUGUUUACAAAUGAAAGCUUAAAGUGUGAUUUGAUAAAAGAAUACAAGUUUAAAGUGCAAGAGACGUUGAAUACUUAAUAACAAGCUCAAUGAUAAUUGUUGAAUCCUACUCAUUUGAAUUUGAUUAAGCCUUUUUUAUAGUUAGAGCUGAAACCUAGCUAUUAUUAACUUUCUGCACAUAGUCGGAUCGUUGUUUUGACUUGAGUAAGUGACCAUAAUCCUAUAAUUUCAAAUUGUUGGAUCACUGUUUUGUAGAUGUCGGAUUGUUGUUAGUGUUCAGUGACCUGCAAGAAGUUGUCGGCUUACUUUUUUUUUUUAUAAACGGUUUGUUGUUAGCAUCUAAAAACUAAACUCCAGUUCUGUGCAAUGUCGGUUAGCCAUUUUCCCACUAAUGGUUAGCCGCUUUCAUCUAGAAUUGAUGAAAUCUUGCCUCAAGGUAAUCAGUUAGCCAUUUUCUGAGUUACCAGGAAACCAUUUGUUUCCAUAAAGUUGUUCUAUGCUCAAAACAUUAUACGGCUCAAGUAUUUUGACCUGAUUAAAGACUUCUUCAAACUUAAUUAAUUUUAAAACAUGCUUGUUAUCAUCAAAAUCACCAUUAUGGAAACAUACAUGUUAACAACCUCUUGUCUAUAUAUAUUGAAGCAAUCAAGUCUAAUGAAUAUAUGUUUUAUUUGAGCCAGUAGGGGUGGAAAGUACUUAAUUUCUUUCCAAAAUCAAGUUUCAUGAAAAACAAAAAAUAGUCUAAUUUUUUGUGUAUUAAUUUAAUACUAAUCAAUAAUCUCCCAAACUAUUCUUAUUAAUUUUAUACUAUUUUCGAUCAAUUAUUGGGCAUAGAUGUAAAUGUUAAUGUACUUUUAUAACAUCUAAAAGUCAUCGAAAAUAGUAAUUUAUUUCUACCACAAGUUUGGUAAGUUUAAAAUGUUCAUAGAACAAAUUCUACGACUUGAUGAUUUAUAAUGUUUACUUGUGACUACCUUAGUAUUUAGUAAAAAAUGGUAUGGUAUUUUUGAUUGUUGAAUUCUUAUAGUUGCAAAUAAUAGUGGCACUAAUGCCUACCUAUUAUGGUUUAUAAACUCGUUUCAACUGUGAGAAAAAGUGAGAGAAAAUGAUUAAGAAGAAUCUAAAUGAAUUUAGAAUUUUAUUGAAUGAAUAUGAUCUAUACAAUUUGAGGUAGUAUAUCUUUAUUUAUAGUAGUUGAAAAUUGAUAAUUAACUUCAAUCUAACAACAUAGUCACUAACUAACUAAACCCUCUAACCAAUUACAAUUAGCCAGCUGGCAUUCUAGUUACAUCGGCGCUACAAAUUAGCUUCUCACCAUUUUUUGCAUGCAUCUUGACACAAGUGUUCAACACAUCAGCAAACAUCAUCAUUCACCUAACUAGCUCAUUAACACACAUCAUCGUCGACUGAACAAGAAUGAACCUUUCGUGGUUAUGUUGCCCAUUAGAAUCCAAGCUUCAUGUGUCCUCAAAGCGUCCGGAGAUUUAAGGAGUUAAUGGCAACUACAAUGAUGCUCUUCUAUUGUGUUUUUCUGGUGAAUUUGGAUUGAAGGGAGUUCAAGGUAAGGAUGGAUCAUUUGUCGUGGCUGAAGAUUGAGAGGAAGUAUCACCAAGAUUGAGAUGAGCCUUGAAAUUGAAGAAAAGUUAACAUCUGACUCAAAAGGAAAGGGUGUUUCAUUAAAAAUGACAUGAUCAUUACUGAUUAGUAUUAAAAAUUGUUUAAUUAUCAAGCGAUAAUAUGUUAUUUUAUGCUUAUGUUAUAAUUUAUAUUUGUAUUUAUGUAAUAUAUUAGGAAUUAUUAAUUAUGUUUUAAAUAUAUUUAAUUUUGCGUAUUUUUAUGUGUUUAUCAGGAAAAAUAUUAAUUUUAUGUAAUUCGAGGCUCCAAACAGAUAAACGGAGGUCAAAUUUGGAUUCCGGAGGUCCGAAAACCUUAAGAUCAGUCAAGAUCGACUUAAAAUUGGGCUUGUGUAAAAAAAAUUGACUUUUCCUGUUGACCGAGCACUGAUUGGAUGAUGAAAUGAGCUUACAAUAAAUAUGAGUGCAUGGGAUAGCUGGCAAUUUUGACUAAAUCUCAACUGUUCAUGAUUCAAUGGCCAUGAUUGUGCCACGUGGCAAUGAUUGGUGAAGCAAGUUGUAGGAUCCGAAUCCUUGUAUUCGGGUCGACCCGAUCCACCCAUUAACCCGCCAAAUCUCAACCGUUCUUUGGGCAAAUUGGAAGAGUCAAAUGAUGCCACGUGUGAUGUUGACUUUUGAAGUUUGACCAGCCAUUUGAUUUUGAUCUAAAGGUUGUGAGGAGCAAUGCAUGAAGCUUAUGAUGGACCGCAAAGCACUGGAUUAUGAAUUUAUUGUUCUAUAAAUAGAGCCUCAUUUUUAUGUUUUUAAUCAUCCCUCUACAACUCUCUUCCUCUCAAAUUCUCUCCAUCUCCUUGUAAUCUUGAUUUCCAG